rnacentral:misc_RNA from 1 species
GAAAUGCGAUAAGUAAUGUGAAUUGCAGAAUUCAGUGAAUCAUCGAAUCUUUGAACGCACAUUGCGCCCGCCAGUAUUCUGGCGGGCAUGCCUGUUCGAGCGUCAUUUCAACCAUCAAGCCCCCGGCUUGUGUUGGGGACCUGCGGCUGCCCGCAGGCCCUGAAAAACAGUGGCGGGCUCGCUGUCACACCGAGCGUAGUAGCAUACAUUCUCGCUCAGGGCGUGCUGCGGGUUCCGGCCGUUAAACGACCUUCAUAACCCAAGGUUGACCUCGGAUCAGGUAAGAAGACCCGCUGAACUUAAGC